CACACACUUUAAGGGGAGUGCAUGCAGAUUACACUUUACCCAGGUUGCUUCAGUUGGGAAGAAAUGUUCGGAGGAGCCAAAGAUAACAACCGUAGAGCCUCUCCCUUCCCUGCCCCUGGCAGUGCCUCCUGUCACCGUGCAUCUCUCCUGUCUUAUCCUGCCCAUUCUGCAGGCCACUAACUAUUUGCCUGUUCGGGCCCAAACAGAAUCGCUUGACCAGUGGUGGAGACAGAAAGAAAGAUCCAAAGUGCGUGAGAGCACAUUCUGAUGGCCUGCCCGCCUCCCUUUCAGGAAGAACAUUCUUUGUAGCUGGCUGCCAUGUUGGUCAUGACCGCACUACCUCCCUCUGGACAUUCUGAAUAACAUCUGCCUUUCAUUUGACCUCACAACAACAUUGGGAGGCAGGUGCUACAAUUAUCCCCUUUUGACAGGUGAAGGUGAGGCACAAAGAGAUUGAGUAACCUGCCCAAGUUCACACAAUGAAUUAGUGGUGGAGCUUCUACUCACAAUGCAGUCCUUUUGAUCCAUCCUAUUGCUCAACUGUGGUACAGCAUCAAGAACAUCACCAGGGUGAGGGCAGGGGGAACUGUGUGGCUGAAAUUGGAGAUAACUCGUAAGCUCUAUCCACAAGGACAGGCAGGAAGAUCCAGAUAUGUGACACAGGCUCAUGACAAUCUUUUUGGUGGAAGAUUGUGGCAGAAAUGGAGAACCACAUCCCAUUUAAAGAC
ensembl:lncRNA